rnacentral:tRNA from 1 species
UUUUAGGUGGCCGAGGUAAGCAGGCAUUAGAUUUUUAAUUUAAUUACGGUUUUAUGUAUAACCCCUAGAAA